rnacentral:rRNA from 1 species
UGGGUGACCUGCCUUCGAGUGGGGAAUAACGCUGGGAAACCAGCGCUAAUACCGCAUACGCUCCGCACUGCAUUGUGCGGAGGAAGGCUUGAUGUGCUCGAAGAGGGGCCUGCGGCGGAUUAGCUAGUCGGUGGGGUAACGGCUUACCGAGGCGACGAUCCGUAGCUGGUCUGAGAGGAUGACCAGCCACACUGGGACUGAGACACGGCCCAG